AUGAACGCUGGCGGCGUGCCUAAUACAUGCACGUCGAGCGAACAGACGAGGAGCUUGCUCCUCUGACGUUAGCGGCGGACGGGUGAGUAACACGUGGAUAACCUACCUAUAAGACUGGGAUAACUUCGGGAAACCGGAGCUAAUACCGGAUAAUAUAUUGAACCGCAUGGUUCAAUAGUGAAAGACGGUUUUGCUGUCACUUAUAGAUGGAUCCGCGCCGCAUUAGCUAGUUGGUAAGGUAACGACUUACCAAGGCGACGAUGCGUAGCCGACCUGAGAGGGUGAUCGGCCACACUGGAACUGAGACACGGUCCAGACUCCUACGGGAGGCAGCAGUAGGGAAUCUUCCGCAAUGGGCGAAAGCCUGACGGAGCAACGCCGCGUGAGUGAUGAAGGUCUUCGGAUCGUAAAACUCUGUUAUUAGGGAAGAACAAAUGUGUAAGUAACUAUGCACGUCUUGACGGUACCUAAUCAGAAAGCCACGGCUAACUACGUG
rnacentral:rRNA from 1 species